rnacentral:rRNA from 1 species
GAUGAACGCUGGCGGCGUGCCUAAUACAUGCAAGUCGAGCGAACAGACGAGGAGCUUGCUCCUCUGACGUUAGCGGCGGACGGGUGAGUAACAUGUGGAUACCAUACCUAUAAGACUGGGAUAACUUAGUGAAACCGGAGCUAAUACCGGAUAAUAUAUUGAACCGCAUGGUUCAAUAGUGAAAGCCGGUUUUGCUGUCACUUAUAGAUGGAUCCGCGCUGCAUUAGCUAGUUGGUACGGUAACGGCUUACCAAGGCAACGAUGCGUAGCCGACCUGCGAGGGUGAUGGCGGACACAGGAGCUGAGACGCGGUCCUGGCUCCUACAGAAGGCAGCAGUAGGGAAGCGUCCGCGAUGGGCGAAAGCCUGACGGAGCAACGCCACGUGAGUGAUGAAGGUCUGCGGACCGGAAAACUCUGUUAUUAUGGAAGAACGAAUGUGUAAGUAACGAUGCACGUCUUGACGGUACCUAAACAGAAAGCCACGGCUAACUACGUG